GACGAACGCUGGCGGCGUGCUUAACACAUGCAAGUCGAACGGAAAGGCCCUGCUUUUGUGGGGUGCUCGAGUGGCGAACGGGUGAGUAACACGUGAGUAACCUGCCCGUGACUUUGGGAUAACUUCAGGAAACUGGGGCUAAUACCGGAUAGGAGCUCCUGCUGCAUGGUGGGGGUUGGAAAGUUUCGGCGGUUGGGGAUGGACUCGCGGCUUAUCAGCUUGUUGGUGGGGUAGUGGCUUACCAAGGCUUUGACGGGUAGCCGGCCUGAGAGGGUGACCGGCCACAUUGGGACUGAGGUACGGCCCAGACUCCUACGGGAUGCAGCAGUGGAGAAUAUUGCACAAUGGGCGGAAGCCUGAUGCAGCAACGCAGCGUGCGGGAUGACGGCCUUCGGGUUGUAAACCGCUUUCGCCUGUGACGAAGCGUGAGUGACGGUAAUGGGUAAAGAAGCACCGGCUAACUACGUG
rnacentral:rRNA from 1 species